CUUUUUGAGGAUUUGAUCCUGGUCCAGGACGAACGCUAGCGACGUGCUUUAAGCAUGCAAGUAGAGCGAGCCCGCAAGGGCAAGCUGCGAACGGCUGAGUAACACGUAGGAACCUACACUUUGGUGGGGUACAGCUCGCCGAAAGGCGGGGUAAUACCGCAUGACCUCGUGCUUUGCACAAGGAAAUUACGAAUAACACAAUAAAUUCCAAAUAACAAAUUACAAACAAUUAUCAAUUAAUAAAUAACAAAUAAUUAACAUUGUUUUUUUCAUUGAAAAUUGGAACUUGAAUUUUGUUUGUAUAUUGGAAUUUGUGAUUUGUUACAAGUGAUUUUCUCGCGCAGAGUGCGAGAAAAGGAUGUAACUGUCCGCCGAAGAAGGGGCCUGCGGCCUAUCAGCUUGUUGGUGGGGUAACGGCCUACCAAGGCUACGACGGGUAGGGGGCGUGAGAGCGUGUUCCCCCAGAAUGGGACUGAGACACGGGAUGACGGCCUUCGGGUUGUAAACCACUUUUGCCAAAGAGUGAUUACUUUGGAGAAUAAGCACCGGCUAACUACGUGCCAGCAGCAGCGGUAAUACGUAGGGUGCAAGCGUUGUCCGAAUUUAUUGGGCGUAAAGAGUUCGUAGGCGUUUCCUUACAUCUUGUUUCAAAUACCGGAGCUCAACUUCGGGAAGGGGCAAGAGAUGGAGGAAAUUGGAGAGUGCAGGGGCUACUGGAACUUGCGGUGUAGGAGUGAAAUCCGUUGAUAUCGUAAGGAACACCGAGGGCGAAGGCAAGUAGCUGGGCACACCUUGACGCUGAGGAACGAAAGCUAGGGUAGCGAAAGGGAUUAGAGACCCCUGUAGUCCUAGCCGUAAACGAUGCUCGCUAGGGAUUUGCCACGCAAAGGAUAUGUCCUUUGCGGGAAUUUCUAAGCACAAAUAUCUAAAUUCUAAGUAAUAUCCAAUUUCCAAUUUUCCAAAUUCAAAACAGACUAAAGUGUUAUGUAUUUGGAGUUUGGAAUUCGAGAUAUUUGAAUUUGUUUAGGAUUUCGAAUUUGGGAUUUAGAGUUUCCACGCAAAAACGACACAUUUUUUGCGUGGUGAGUCCCGUAAGCUAACGCGUUAAGCGAGCCGCCUGGGGAGUACGAGCGCAAGCUUAAAACUCAAAGGAAUUGACGGGGACCCGCACAACCAGUGGAGCAU
rnacentral:ncRNA from 1 species